rnacentral:lncRNA from 1 species
GUUGUGUAUGGACACAAAUGGUUGUUGGCAGCCAUGUCAAACAUGGCUGCAUGGCUAGAGUCAAUGGUUGGUAGGUGGCAACCAUUUUUGCCGUAAUUGUUGGCCUUGACUUCUUCCCAUAGCUCUGCCUAUAAUUAGACAGAUGAAGAGCUGAGAUGUAGAGCAAGUGAAAGUGUGCGAAAACACAGAGAGAAAGAAGAGAAGAGAGAGCUUGAGAGUGUUGAGUUGAGUUGAGUUUUUCUCCUCCUCUUGUUUGUAUUGUUUGUAAGCUUGAUUAAUACAAACCAGUAGCUCCGUGGAGUAGGCAAGUUGCCGAACCACGUAAAUUGGUGUGUGGUUGAUUGCUUGAAUAUCCCAACAACUGGUAUCAGAGCUUGUUCUUGACAAAGAGGGUGUUUGAUCCAAACUCAAAAAUCAAAGUUCUCCAAACGUGUUUUUGAACAUACCAUCGUGUAGAGGACAACCGGACGAAUCCACUGUUGAAAAACCGGCGAAGAACCGACGUCCUGCAUGACCGCACGCGCCAACACGCGCCGACGACAGCACUGCCCACGCGCGACCACUCGCGCCACGCUCUCCACGCGUCGUCUUCACCCGAUUGUCUGCAAGUGAACCGGGUUGACCCGCCACGCAAGCAGCCAGUCAUCAGCCACGCCAGCAAUUCUGCACAGUCAUCCGCCACGUCAUCAGACCAGUCAGCAGCCACGUCAUCACCUGCCACGUCAGCCAAAAAGUGCGUGCCUUUUGCCACGUCAUCAAAGGUGGGCCCGGAUUUCUGACGUGGAUGACACGUCAUCUAGCCACGUCAUCACAGUGGGUUUUGAUUCAGUGUUUCGCAGACACUAUUUCGGCCUGACACGUGGCUUUAUCAGCACCGUCUGUUGACCUAAAACUUUGACUGUUAAGAUCUGAGCCAUCCGAAGUCCGAUUGGGGUGAUCUCAGUGUCGUUUCCAAUAGUUUUGGCCGUUCCGGACACAUCUGUAAGGUCAGAUUUGACAGAUUUAAAUCCGAGACAUAUUAAAAUGGCAGAUGAAAUAAAAGCUGCGGGAAUUGAAAAAUUUGAUGGAACAGAUUUUGGAUACUGGAAAAUGCAAAUUGAGGAUUAUCUAUAUGGGAAGAAACUUCAUCUUCCCUUGUUGGGGAGCAAACCAGAAAAUAUGCAAGAAGAAGAUUGGCAAAUUCUUGAUAGACAGGUUUUGGGCAUUAUCCGGCUAUCCUUGUCGAGAAGAGUAGCUCACAAUGUUACAAAAGAAAGAUCCACUGCAAGACUAAUGGAAGCUUUGUCUGGGAUGUAUGAGAAGCCCUCAGCAAAUAACAAAGUGCACCUGAUGAAGAAGCUGUUCAACUUGAAGAUGACAGAAAGCACCUCUGUGACACAACAUCUCAACAACUUCAAUACCAUCACAAAUCAAUUGUCAUCUGUUGAGAUUGAGUUUGAUGAUGAGAUCCGUGCACUCAUUUUGCUGGCUUCACUUCCAAGCAGUUGGGAAGGUAUGAGGACAGCCGUGAGCAACUCAGCUGGAAAAUCCAAACUGAAAUAUGAUGACAUUCGAGACUUGAUUUUAGCUGAAGAAGUGCGAAGGAAAGACUCAGGUGAAAGUUCAAGUUCAGGAUCAGCUCUCAACAUUAACACUCGAGGGAGGAGACAGGAUAGAGGCUUAUCCAGAGGUAGAUCCAAAUCAAGAUACAGAAGUAAAAGCAAGUUCGGACCCAGAAAGCAGGUUGAAUGUUGGAAUUGUGGCAAACCUGGUCAUUUCAUGAGGAAUUGCAUAAAACCGAAAAAACCUGAAGCUGACUCUGCAAACGCUACCACAGAUGAGGUGCAAGACGCUUUGAUUCUUGCUGUACAAAGUCCAAUUGAUGAUUGGAUUCUUGAUUCUGGUGCUUCAUUCCACUGUACACCACAUCAUGAGAUGAUGCAAAACUAUGUUGCUGGAGAUCACGGUGUAGUCUAUCUGGCCGAUGGACAACCAAUGAAGAUUGUGGGUAUAGGAGAUGUGCAAAUCAAGACAAUGAAUGGAUCUACAUGGAUCUUGCAAAAUGUAAGGCAUGUUCCUGGACUAAAGAAGAAGUUGAUCUCAGUCGGACAACUUGAUGAUAAUGGUCAUUCAAUUCUUUUUUCUGGAGGUAUGUGGAAGGUAUCAAAGGGAGCAAUGGUUUUGGCUCGUGGAAAGAAAACCGGCACCCUGUAUAUGACCACAAGAUUUGAAGACAUUAUUGCCUCUACUGAAUCAGAAAAUCAAGCACAUCUAUGGCACUGUAGACUCGGCCAUAUGAGUCAAAAGGGGAUGAAGAUACUUCAAUCAAAGGGAAAGCUGCCAGAGCUCAAAAAUGUUGAUCUAGACAUUUGUGAAAGUUGUGUUCUUGGAAAACAGAAGAAGCUCAGUUUCUUAAAGGUUGGCAGGACCUUAAGACCAAGAAAGCUAGAACUGGUACACACAGAUUUAUGGGGACCGUCUCCAGUAGCAUCUCUUGGAGGUUCUCGGUAUUACGUCACAUUCAUUGACGAUUACAGCAGAAAGGUAUGGGUCUACUUUCUGAAAAAUAAAUCUGAUGUGUUUGAAACAUUCAAGAAGUGGAAGGCUAUGGUUGAAACUGAAUCAGGCCUGAAGUUGAAAUGUUUGAGAUCCGAUAAUGGAGGAGAAUACAUUGAUGGAGGCUUCAAAGAGUAUUGUGCUGUUAAUGGCAUCAGAAUGGAAAAGACCGUUCCAGGCACACCACAACAGAAUGGCAUUGCUGAACGGAUGAACAGGACCAUCAAUGAACGAGCUAGAAGCAUGAGGUUGCAUUCAGGGUUACCUCAAACAUUCUGGGCCGACGCAGUUCAUACCGCAGUUUACUUGAUCAACCGUGGACCAUCGGUUCCUUUGGAGUUCAGACUGCCCGAGGAAGUAUGGAGAGGAAAAGAGGUACAACUCUCUCAUUUAAAGGUCUUUGGGUGUGUUUCCUAUGUUCAUAUAGAUUCUGAUGCUCGCAACAAGUUGGAUGCCAAAUCCAAGAAAUGUUUCUUCAUCGGCUAUGGAGAUGAAGAAUUUGGCUUUCGGUUCUGGGAUGAUCAGAAUAGAAAGAUUAUCAGAAGCAGGAACGUGAUCUUCAAUGAGAAAGUUCUGUACAAAGACAGAUCAAGUGCAGAAACAGAUAGGGCUGAUUCAGAUACAAGGCCACAAGGAUCUGAAUUCAUAAGAUUAGAAGGCCUUCCCGAUGUUACUGAGCAGAACAACAAUCAAGAGUCUUUACAAGAAGACUCAAGCAUAUCUGUACCCGCUACUACACAAGAAGAUGCGGAGCAAAUUGAACCAGCUGUUCGCAGGUCUUCGAGGACGAUAAAGCCCCCGCAACGGUUCACUCUUUUACUGAAUUACAUUUUGUUGACAGAUGGUGGUGAACCGCUAACUUAUGAAGAAUCCUUACAAGAUGGAAACUCAAGCAAGUGGGAGUUGGCCAUGAAGGAUGAGAUGAGUUCGUUGCUGAAGAACAAGACUUGGGAGUUAACCACACUGCCUGAAGGAAAGAAGGCUUUACAAAACAAGUGGGUUUACAGAGUGAAGACUGAGCAUGACGGAAGUAAACGGUUUAAGGCAAGACUUGUUGUCAAAGGGUUUCAACAAAAGAAAGGCAUUGACUACUCUGAGAUAUUUUCUCCAGUUGUGAAGCUCACAACAAUCAGAGUUGUUUUGGGGAUAGUAGCUGCAGAAAAUUUACAUCUUGAACAGUUAGAUGUAAAAACAGCAUUCCUUCAUGGUGACUUGGAGGAAGAUAUUUACAUGCAACAGCCAGAAGGGUUUGCAAUGCAAGGAAAGGAGAAUCAAGUCUGCAAGCUACAGAAAAGCCUAUACGGUUUGAAGCAAGCUCCAAGACAGUGGUACAAGAAGUUUGACAACUUCAUGUGCAGUUCCGGGUAUACAAGAUGCCAAGCUGAUCAUUGUUGCUAUGUCAAACAUUUUGACAACUCCUACAUCAUUCUACUAUUAUAUGUAGAUGAUAUGUUGAUUGCAGGAUCCAGCAUUGAGGAGAUUGAUAAGCUGAAACAACAGUUGUCAAAACAGUUUGAAAUGAAGGAUCUGGGAGCUGCUAAACAAAUACUUGGCAUGAGAAUCUUCAGAGAUAAAGACAAAGGCGUACUAAGGCUUUCACAAACAGAGUAUGUCAAGAAGGUUCUCAGCAGGUUUAGUAUGGAUAAUACUAAACCAGUAAGUACACCACUGGGGAAUCAUUUCAAGCUCAGCAAAGACCAGUCACCAAAAACUGAGCUAGAAAGUGGAUACAUGGAUAAGAUUCCAUACGCCUCAGCUAUCGGCUCUUUGAUGUAUGCUAUGGUCUGUACCAGACCAGACAUUGCCCAUGCAGUGGGAGUUGUAAGCCGAUAUAUGAGCAAUCCUGGAAAGCAGCAUUGGGAGGCGGUCAAAUGGAUCAUGAGGUACUUAAAAGGGUCAUCAGAGACAUGUCUCACAUUCACAGCUGGUGGUCUGAAACUUGAAGGUUUUGUAGACGCUGAUUUAGCAGGAGAUGUUGAUAGCCGAAAGAGCACUACAGGAUAUGUAUAUACUCUAGGAGGAACUGCUAUUUCCUGGAGUUCUACCUUACAAAAGAUCGUCGCUCUUUCAACAACAGAAGCUGAAUAUGUUGCAGUCUCAGAAUCUGCAAAAGAGAUCGUAUGGUUGCAGAGUUUUCUGAAAGAAUUGGGCAAGAUGAAUGAAAAGGGUACUUUGUAUAGCGAUAGUCAGAGUGCAAUCUUCCUUGCCAAGAAUCCAGCAUUUCACUCAAGGACGAAGCAUAUUCAGAUCAAAUAUCACUUCAUCCGACAAUUGCUAGACGAGGAGCAACUGAUGCUAGAAAAGAUCUGCGGAAGCAAGAAUCCAGCUGACAUGUUAACCAAAGGAGUUACUCUUGAUAAACUGAAGCUAUGUAAAGCUUCAGUUGGUCUCAAAGAUUAAAAGAUAGAUAUAGCACCAUUUGUGUCCAAGUGGGAGAUUGUUGUGUAUGGACACAAAUGGUUGUUGGCAGCCAUGUCAAACAUGGCUGCAUGGCUAGAGUCAAUGGUUGGUAGGUGGCAACCAUUUUUGCCGUAAUUGUUGGCCUUGACUUCUUCCCAUAGCUCUGCCUAUAAUUAGACAGAUGAAGAGCUGAGAUGUAGAGCAAGUGAAAGUGUGCGAAAACACAGAGAGAAAGAAGAGAAGAGAGAGCUUGAGAGUGUUGAGUUGAGUUGAGUUUUUCUCCUCCUCUUGUUUGUAUUGUUUGUAAGCUUGAUUAAUACAAACCAGUAGCUCCGUGGAGUAGGCAAGUUGCCGAACCACGUAAAUUGGUGUGUG